CGCACAUUGCGCCCUCUGGUAUUCCGGGGGGCAUGCCUGUUCGAGCGUCGCAUCAUCACGAUCAGGCGACUUUGAUGUCGCCUGGAAUUGAGCGAUCACUUCCUCCGGGACAGUGCGCUCGAAAAUUAGCGGCGGCUCGGUCGAGCUCCUAGCGCAGUAGAAACUUAAUCUCGCUACCGGUGUCUUCGACCGCGCCCGCCGGGCAACCCCAUUGCGUGGGCCUGACGCAUGCUCUUUGAAAUCGACCUCGGAUCAGGUAGGGAUACCCGCUGAACUUAA
rnacentral:misc_RNA from 1 species